UACAGAGGUCUCAAGCGUUGUUCGGAUUCAUUGGGCGUAAAGGGUGCGUAGGCGGCGGGGCAAGUCGGAUGUGAAAUCUCAGGGCUCAACCCUGAAACUGCAUUCGAUACUGCCUUGCUCGAGGACUGGAGAGGAGAUUGGAAUUCACGGUGUAGCAGUGAAAUGCGUAGAUAUCGUGAGGAAGACCAGUUGCGAAGGCGGAUCUCUGGGCAGUUCCUGACACUGAGGCACGAAGGCCAGGGGAGCAAACGGG
rnacentral:rRNA from 1 species